rnacentral:rRNA from 1 species
ACUCAAAUGAAUUGACGGGGACCCGCACAAGCGGUGGAGCGUGUUCUUUAAUUCGAGGAUAAGCGAAGAACCUUACCAAGACUUGACAUCCUUGGAAAUUCUGGGAAACCAGAGUGUGCCUUCGGGAACCAAGUGACAGGUGUUGCAUGGCCGUCGUCAGCUCGUGUCGUGAGAUGUUUGGUUAAGUCCAUCAACGAGCGCAACCCCUAUGAUUAGUUGUAUUUUUCUAAUUAGACCGCCUCGGUAACGGGGAGGAAGGAGGGGUCGAAGUCAGGUCAUUAUUACCCUUACGUCUUGGGCUAGAAACGCGCUACAAUGGCUGGUACAAAGGGCUGCCAACCCGCGAGGGGGAGCAAAUCCCAUCAAAGCCAGUCCCAGUUCGGAUUGCAGGCUGAAACUCGCCUGCAUGAAGUCGGAAUCGCUAGUAAUCGUAGGUCAGCACACUACGGUGAAUCCGUUCCCGGGUCUUGCACACACCGCCCGU